rnacentral:rRNA from 1 species
AUGGGGAUCAUAGCCCUCACAUCCAACUUUGUAAAUUCAUCAUCUCCAAAGGCAUCCAUGAAAAAGGGGGGCUGGUACUGUCCUCCUAGGAGUUUUGUGAAACUUAAUGUUGACGCCUCCUUUGACCAUGACAUGCUGAAGGGUACGAUGGAGGCAGUAUUGAGAGAUGACAAAGGUAGGUUUAUUGCAGGAGGAAAUGAAAAAAUUGACUACUGUGCGGAUAUUCUGAUGGCUGAAGCUUUAGCACUCGAAUUUGGCCUAACACUGGCGCAAAGGGCGGGGUGUAAUCGCAUAAUCAUCAACUCAGACAACUCGGAGGUCAUAGAGACCAUGCAGGGCGGAGGACAAUCAGCGGGUGCGGUGGUGGCAAUUUUCGAGGACUGCUUCACUAUGCAUGUGAUUUUGUCAUGA